rnacentral:rRNA from 1 species
CCUANGGGUGGCAGCAGUAAGGAAUAUUGGACAAUGGCCGCAAGGCUGAUCCAGCCAUCCAGCGUGCAGGAAGAAGGCCCUAUGGGUUGUAAACUGCUUUUAUCAGGGAAGAAACCUCUGGAUUUACUCCGGAACUGACGGUACCUGAAGAAUAAGCACCGGCUAACUCCGUGCCAGCAGCCGCGGUAAUACGGAGGGUGCGAGCGUUAUCCGGAAUUACUGGGCGUAAAGCGAGUGUAGGUGGUCGAAUAAGUCGGAUGUGAAAGCCCUGGGCUUAACCUGGGAAUUGCAUUCGAUACUGUUCGGCUAGAGUCUGAUAGAGGGAAGUGGAAUUCCAGGUGUAGCGGUGAAAUGCGUAGAUAUCUGGAGGAACAUCAGUGGCGAAGGCGGCUUCCUGGAUCAAGACUGACACUGAGGCUCGAAAGCGUGGGGAGCAAACAGGAUUAGAUACCCCGNUANUC